rnacentral:lncRNA from 1 species
AAAGUAUAAUAAAAAAAUAAAUAAAUAAAAAUAAAUAAAAAUAAAAAUAAAAAAUAAAAAAAUACUUUCUUUCUUCUAGCGUUUACUCUAAGCAGUUGAUAGAAGCCAUACAGAUUAUUAAUAUUUUGCUUAGAUAUUUCUAUGGCCAGAUGUCUAUAUAUAUAUAUAUGUAUUAUGUAUUACUUUUAUUUUAUUUGGUUGUUUUUUAUAUAUGUGUUUAUAUAUGUGUGUGUGUGUGUGUAUGUGUGUAUGUAUAUAUAUAACAGAAAUAUCUAAGCAAAAUAUUAAUAAAAUAUUUUUGUCUAUAUAUUCAUGUGUACAUAUAUACCAUAUAUAUGUAGUCUAUCUAUCUAUCAUCUAUCUAUCAUUUGAUUGUUUGUUUUUGUAGAGACAAAGUCUCACUAUAUUGCUCAGGCUGGUCUUGAACUCCUGGCUCAAGCAAUUCUUCUGCCUCAGCCUCCUAAAGUGCUGGGAUUAUAAGCAUGAGCCACCAUGCCUGGUCAGUGCAUUGCUUCAUUGCUUUUUAAUUAUUUUUCCCACAACGUCCUCUGUCAUGAGGAUAAUUCAGCCAAGUUUAUUGCCACUUUAUAACAAGGAUGACCUUACCUUCAGUUUCUAAUAAGAUAUUCCUCAUUUCCAUCUGAGACCUCAUCAGAAAGGCCUUCAUUGUCCAUAUUUCUGCCAAUAUUCUGUUCACAAGCUCUUAAUCUUUAAGACUUAGGCGAGAGAUAAGCAGGAACAAACCAAACUCAAAAUUGGCAAAAUUGGCAAUCUAAAAAGGAAAUAAUAAAGCUCAGAGAAGAAAUAAACAAAAAAAGACUAAAAUAAAGAUCAAUGAAAUGAAGAGCUGGUUUAAAAAACAAAAUCCACAAGCCUUUAUCUAGACUAAGAAAAAAAGAGAGAGAAGGCUGAAAUAAAUAAAAUGCAGAUGAAAAGGAGAUGUUACAACUGAUAGUACAGGAAUAUAAAGGGUCAUAAGAGACUAUUAUGACAACAAAUUUCAUAACACAGAAGAAAGGGAUCAAUUCCUGGACAGAUAUAACCUACCAACAUUAAAUUAUGAAGAAAUAGAAAAUUUGAACAGGCCAGUGAUGAGUGAGGAAAUUGAAUCAGUAAUACAUGAGCGAGGAAACUGAAUCAGUAAUAAAAAGUCUUUCAUCAAAGAAAAGCUCAGGAACUAAUGGCUUCAGUGCUGAAUUCUACAAACAUUUGAAGAGCUAAUGCCUAUUCUCCUCAAACUAUUCCAGAAAAACUGAAAAGGAAUGAGUAUUGCCAAACUAGUUUUACCAGGCCACUACUGCCCUGAUUCCAAAACCAAACAACACAGCAACAACAACAAAAACAACAGGCCAACAAAAACUCCUUGAUGAAUGUACAUGCAAAAAUUCUUAGUAAGGUGUUAGCAAUCCAAAUCCAACAGCAUAUUAAGAAGACUAUUCAAUAUGAUCAAGUGGGAUUAAUGCCAGUGAUGCAAGAUGAUUUAGCAUACACAAAUCAACAAAUGCACUACACCACGUUACAAGAAAGAGUGACAGAAACCAUGUGAUAUUUUAAUAGAUGCAGAAAAUAAUUUGACAAGAUUCAACAUCCUUUCAUGACAAAAUUUCUCAACGAAUUAGGUAUAGAGUUAUGCACCUAAACGCAAUAAAGACCAUAUAUGACAAACUCCCAGCUAACAUCAUAGUGAAAAGGGAAAAGCUCAGGAACCAAAUAAGAAGGCCCACUUUCAAUAUUUUACUGGAAGUCCUAGCCAGAUCAAUUAGGUAAGAGAAAGAAGUAAAAGGCAUCCAAAUUGGAAAAGAGGAAGUCAAAUUGGUCCUGUUUGCAGAUGACUUCAUCUUGUAUAGAGAAAACCCUAAAGACUCCACCAAAAAACCUCUAGAAAUAAUAAACAAAUUCAAUUAAAAGUUACAGGCUACAAAAUCAACAUAAAAAUUAUUACCAUUUCAAUAUGCUAAUAGUGAACUAUCUUAAAAAGAAAUCAAGAAAACAAUUUUAUUUACAAUCGCAACAACAACUACAACAACAGCAAACUCCUAGGAAUAAACAUAACCAUGCAGGUGAAAGAUUUCUACACUGAAAACUAUAAAACUUUGAUGAAAGAAACUGAAGAGGAUACAAAUAAGUAGAAGUGUUCAUAGAUUGGAAGAAUUUAUGUUUUUAAAAUGGCCAUACUACCCAAAGCAAUGAGAUUUAAUACAAUCCCUAUCAAAAUACCAAUGACAUUCUUCACAGAUAAAGAAAAAACAAACCAUAAAAUUUAUGUGAAAUCAUAAAAGAUUCCAUUGGAGUGUGAAGCUGGAGGCCUCACACUACCUGGCUUGAAAAUAUAUUACAAAGCUAUUGUAACCAAAACAUCAUGGUAGUGACAUAGAAACUGAUCCAUAGACCAAUAGAAUAGAAUGUAAAACCCAGAAACAAAUCAACAACCCUGAUCCUUGACAAAGGUGCCAAGGACACACAUUGGAGAAAAGACAGUCUCUUUAAUAAAUGAUGCUAGCAAAAUUGGAUAUUCUAUGCAGAAGAAUGAGACCAGAUCCCUAACUCUCACCGUAUACAAAAAUUAACUUAAAAUGGAUUAAAAUCUUAAAUAUAAAACACAAAAACUAUGAAACUAGUAGAAGAAAACAUAAAGAAAAUCCUUCCCAAUAUUGGGCUGAAUUUUUCAAGAAUUUGGAAAAAUAAGACCUCAAAAGCACAGGCAAAAAAAGCAAAGAUACACAAACAGGAUUAUAUCAAACUAAAAUACUUUUGCACUGCAAAAUAAACUAUUAACAGAGUGAGGAGACAACCUGCAGAAUGUAAAAAAAUUUUAAGACUAUUUAUCUGACAAGAGGUUAAUAUACAGAAUAUAUAAAGAACUUAAACAAUUCAACAGCUAAAAACCAAAUACUUCAACCUAAUAAUGGGCAAAAAGACCUGAAUCGACAUUUUUAAAAAGAAGAUAUACAAAUGGUCAAUAGGUAUAUGAAAAAAUGCUCAACAUCACUAAUCAUCAGAGAAAUGCAAAUCAAAACCAAAGGAGAUAACACCUCACUUCAGCUAGGAUGGCUAUUAUCAAAAAGAUUUUUUAAAAAUGCUGGCAAGGAUAGAGAGAAAGAAUACUCAUAUGCUGUUGGUGGGAAUGUAAAGUAGUACAGCCAUUAUGGAAAACAGUAUGGAGGUUCCUCAGAAAAAAGUAAAAAUAGAACUACCAUAUGACCUCACAGUCCCACUGCUGAGUUUAUACCCAGAAUAAAGGAAAUCAAUAUGUUGAAGAGAUAUAUGCACUCUCAUGUUUAUUGCAGCACUAUUCACAAUAGCCAAGAUAUGAAACAUAUCUAAGUGUCCAUCAAUGGAUGAAUGGAUAUUGAAAAUGUGGUAUAUAUACACAAUGGGACACUAUUCAGCCAUAAAAACAAAUGAAAUCCUACGAUUUGAGACAACAUGAAUGAACCUGGAGGAGAUCAUGAUACAUGAAAUAAGCCAGACACAGAAAAGACAAGCACUGCAUGAUCUCACUCAUACAUGGAAUCUAUUUUUUUUAAGCUGAUAUCACAGAAGCAAAGAAUAGAACAGUGGUUACCAAAGACUUCAGAUAGAGGAAAAGAGGAGGAUAGGAGAAGUUGGUCAAUGGGUACGAAGUUACAAUUAGAUAGAAGGAGUAAAUUCUGGUGUUCUAUUGCACAGUAUCAUGACUAUGGUUGACAUUAAAAUAUUGUAUAUUACAAAAUAGCUAGAAGAGAGGCUUUUGAAGGUUCUCACCUUAAGGAAUGUAAAUGCAUGAGGUGAUACAUACACUGACUACCCAGAUUGGAUCAUUAUACAACAUAGAUAUGUAUCAAAACAUUAAAUUGUACCCCAUACAUAUAUACAAUUACAACAUUUCAAUUAAAUAAAUAAAUAACUUUUUAAAAGAACUUUAAAACUUCUGGAAACUAAUAUAGGAGAAAACGUAUAUGACUUUGGAUUUGGCAAUGUUUUAUAUACCAUACAAAAAGCAUGAAUGUUCCUUGAAUGAACAAAAUGAUCAGUUGGACUUUUUUAAAAUGAAAAACUUCAGUUCUGUAAAAAGCACUGUUAAGAGAAUGGAAAGACAAGCCAUGAACUGGAAGGAAAUAUUUGCAAAGCACAUAUCUGAUGAAACAUUUGUAUCCAAAAUAUAGAUAGAACUCUUAAAACUCAACAGUAAGAAAAAACAACCCAUUAAGUAAUAAGCAAAAAAUCUGAACAUAUACUUCACCAAAGAAGAUAUACAGAUAACAAAUAAGCAUAUUUAUGGAUGCUCAACAUCACAUGUCAUUAGGGAAUUGCAAAUUAAAACCACAAGGAGAUACCACCACACAUAAUCUAUUAGAAUGGCUACAAUCUAAAACACCAACAACAGGAAAUGAUGGUAGGGUUGUGGAGCAACAGAAACUCUCUCCUUCAUUGCUGGUGGGAAUGCAAAAUGAUACAGCCAAUUUGGAAGGCAUUUUGGCAGUUUCUUACUAAGCUAAACAUUGUCUUACCAUAUAAUCCAGUUAUCACACUCCUAGGUAUUUACACAAAUGUAUUGAAAACUUAUGUCCACAAAAAUCUGUGUACAUAUAUCUAUAGCCGAUUUACUCAUAAUUGAUAAAAAUUGAAAGCAACAAAGAUAUCCUUGAAUAGGUGUAAUGCUGACAUACUUUUAUGUUUCCAAUGUUGUAAAAGGUGAUACUAUAGAGAUUAAAAAUAUCAGUGGCUUCCAGAGUUGGCGGGGCAGUGUUAAAGAGAUGGAAUGAAUAGCUGGCAUACACGGGAUUUUUAUGGAGUGAAACUAUUCUGUAUUGUGCUGCAAUGGUAGAUACAUGACAUGUGUUUUUCAAAUCCAUAGAAAUGUACAACACAAAGGGUGAACCUCAAUGUAAACUAUGAAUUGAGUUAGUAACAAUGUAUUGAUAUUGAUUCAUCAAUUGUAUCAACUGUACCUACCAAUGCAAGAUGUUAAUAAUAGGGGAGAAUGUGGGUAGGGGAGACAGGAAGUAAAUGGAAGCUUCCUGUACUUUCUAUUCAGUUUUUCUGUAAGCCUAAUAAUGUUCCAAAAAAUAAAGUAUAUUAAUUUUAAAAAUUAAAAAA